rnacentral:lncRNA from 10 species
GAGACGGAGUUUCGCUCUUGUUGCCCAGCCCCAGCCCUGUGCUCCAACAUGUCCUCCUACAAACACUUGUGCAAUGUCAUGCUCAACCUCCUCAACCCCAGACCCCAGCCUCUGCCCAGCUCCCAUCCUAAACCCACCCUCAGUUCCAAUCCCAACCCAAACUUCACUCCAAUCCUAAGGCCCUAUGGAGCCCCUGAUGUUAACCCGAAACAGUCCUAAGCUGGUCAGUUACCCCAAAUCCACCUCAACCCACUUCCACCCCGAGAUUGGCAUCUACCCCAAAUUUUCCUCUCAACCCAGCCCUGAUCGUCACUCAACCCCAAUGUCCCCAGCCAUAACCCAGGGUCACCCAAUCCUUCAACUCAACUCCAAGCCCACUCAACCUUCCACCAGUCACCCUAAACCAACCGAACCUCAACUCCUAACCCAUUGUCAAUACCAAUCCCUAUGUCAAUGCCAGUGAAAUCCAAAAUUCACCCUUGGCUGCAACCUCUAAGCAUCUCUAUACCGACCAGCCACCUCCAGCUACCAGAGCCUCCAAUCCAGCUUCAGUGCUUCAACUCAGUCCCGAAGCAACUGAGAUCCUAGAUCAUUCUUCACCCAACCUCACCCCCUACAAGCAUCCCUGACUCAAUUUGCAAGCUUUUCUCACCAUCCAAAU